AUUGAACGCUGGCGGCAGGCCUAACACAUGCAAGUCGGACGGUAGCACAGAGAGCUUGCUCUCGGGUGACGAGUGGCGGACGGGUGAGUAAUGUCUGGGGAUCUGCCCGAUAGAGGGGGAUAACCACUGGAAACGGUGGCUAAUACCGCAUAACGUCGCAAGACCAAAGAGGGGGACCUUCGGGCCUCUCAUUAUCGGAUGAACCCAGAUGGGAUUAGCUAGUAGGCGGGGUAACGGCCCACCUAGGCGACGAUCCCUAGCUGGUCUGAGAGGAUGACCAGCCACACUGGAACUGAGACGCGGUCCAGACUCCUACGGGAGGCAGCAGUGGGGAAUAUUGCACAAUGGGCGCAAGCCUGAUGCAGCCAUGCCGCGUGUAUGAAGAAGGCCUUCGGGUUGUAAAGUACUUUCAGCGGGGAGGAAGGCGAUAUGGUUAAUAACCUUGUCGAUUGACGUUACCCGCAGAAGAAGCACCGGCUAACUCCGUGCCAGCAGCCGCCGUAA
rnacentral:rRNA from 1 species